rnacentral:lncRNA from 1 species
CUUUCAUUUGAGAAUUUAAGAAACAAAAGGUAAAGGUCAGAUUUAGAGAGAAAUACUAUGAAAUGAGACUUGUAUAUGUUAAAUGCCUAUAAGGCAUCCUUGAAAAAUUGUCCAGUGGAGGCUUAAGGGGGACUGGGCUAGAGAGAGACAGACAGAUUUAGAAGAUAUGGGUGUGGAUGCUGAAGGUAUGGGUGAGGUCCAGGCAGCAACCUUUCCCGUAGGCUCAGCCCAAGCCCUUGUCUCCUGUAAAGAAAUUUCUGCCCACAGGGAUGCCAGUUCUGCUUAUUUUGCCCAAAUUAUACAACUGUGUAAUUUAGAAUAUGCUAAGUUGGGCUGUAGAUUUAAAAAGAAAAAAAAAAAAAAAGCUUUAUUUGCCCCCAAAAGAUAGCUCCUCAAACAUUUUUUUAUUUCUGAACUUUUUCAUAGAGGCCUUCAGAGAAGCUUUUAUAAGCAGAAAUUUGAUUUCUGCCCUCUGAGAUCUUCCUGCAGCACUAGACAAUGUUUUCACAUAGUAGGUAUUCAGGUUUCAUAGUAGGUGUGCUUAUUCAGCCAUCCAUCAUGGGCUACAGUACCAGCAUUCACAUCAGCAACUGGUAUGGAAGCAAAGGACAUAAUUGAUUUUCAUGGUUUGGUACUAUAGAAAAUUAAGAAAGGUGAAACCUAGCAUGUUAGUCAGGCUUCUCCAGGGAAACAGAACAGAGAGAGAGAAUGUUUGUGUAACACAGAGAUUGGUUGUUUGAUUAAGUUUAAGGAACUGGCUCAUGCAGUUGUGAAGGCUAACAAGUCCACAAUCUGCAGGCUUGGAGUUCCUGUCAUGGUGCAGCAUAAAUGAAUCUGACUAGGAACCAUGAGCUCACGACAACGCCGGAUCGUUAACCCACUGAGCAAGGGCAGGGACCGAACCCGCAAUCUCAUGGUUCCUAGUCGGAUUCGUUAACCACUGCGCCACGACGGGAACUCCGAUCUUCUCAUUUUAAAUUGCACCUUUCCCUUCUCUCAUUUCCCACUGUUCCAAGCAUCUUAUUUCUAAAGGAGGGAGGAGGAGAAAGAGGAAAUAUGAAUGACUAUAAGAAUGAAUAUUUACAGAGCUCCUACCUGAAUUCAAAAUAGGAGAAAUUUUUAAAAUUACCAAAUUUUACUUAAUCCUUCUGGGGUUAUGGCUAUUUCAAGUCAGAGGAAUUUAGUUUUGCUGUCCAUUCCUUUUUAGUUCUGCAUUGUGAAUGACAAUAUUUAUGGACAAAUAAAUGUUGAAACUCUAAAGAAACCACCUCCUCCACUGGGCCGCCCUCCUUACAGCCCCAUAGCAUUUAAGAGUGUUUUCACAGUCAUCCCGUCGGCCAAGUUUGGGUCUUGUGUUAUGCCUCCUUCCAGUUUGUUUGGUUAGUUAGCUAAUGUGUUUUGCAUUCAACCAAGGAAAUUCAAAAUACUGUCUCCAAGAGAGCCAGCUAGGGUAGAAGUGCUGUGCAACUUGAGAGUGGCAUGCUGGCCGAGUUCUCUGGGUGAUGAUUGAGCAAACCACUCGCUAAUUUUAGGCUGAGAAAGGUUGGGGCACAAAUGGAGUUUUCAGUAGAAAAUAACGUCCUGCUAAGACAUUCUAUAACCCUUGGAACUAUCUUGUGGCUCUCUAGCUCUUGGCCAUUUUGAAGGUUCAUAUCCCUACUCAUUAUCAGAUUAAGUGUGGUAAAGACUUUAGUUUUGAAAAUGUAACUCUC